AACAAGGCGUACCUGCGGACCUGCGGAAGGAUCAUUACAGAGUUCGUGCCCUCGCGGGUAGAUCUCCCACCCUUGUGUAUUCCUUACAUUUUGUUGCUUUGGCAGGCCGUUGGUUCGCCAACCACCGGCUCUACGGGCUGGUGCGUGCCUGCCAGAGGACCCCCCAAACUCGGUUUGUUAGUGUCGUCUGAGUAACCAUAACAAUCGUUAAAACUUUUAACAAUGGAUCUCAGAUCGGAA
rnacentral:misc_RNA from 1 species